rnacentral:rRNA from 1 species
AAAAAACCGCAUGAAAAAUGUAAAGCGUUAUGUGGAUCGAACAUUAGUAGAGAAGCGUGUGAGCCAGCUGCCAAGAAAAGCCGCUAUUGUUUCAUAAGUACCCGUACCGUAAACCGACACAGGUGGAUGAGGAGAGAAUCCUAAGGCCGGCGGGAGAAGUGUUGUUAAGGAACUCGGCAAAAUGACUCCGUAACUUCGGGAGAAGGAGUGCCACAGAGAUGUGGCCGCAGAGAAAUGGCCCAAGCAACUGUUUAGCAAAACCACAGGUCUAUGCAAAACCGAAAGGUGAGGUAUAUGGGCUGACGCCUGCCCGGUGCUGGAAGGUUAAGAGGAGAGGUUAGAGCAAUCGAAGCUUUGAAUUUAAGCCCCAGUAAACGGCGGCCGUAACAAUAACGGUCCUAAGGUAGCGAAAUUCCUUGUCGGGUAAGUUCCGACCCGCACGAAAGGCGUAAUGAUUUGGGCACUGUCUCAACAACACACCCGGUGAAAUUGAAAUACCAGUGAAGAUGCUGGUUACCUGCGCCAGGACGGAAAGACCCCAUGGAGCUUUACUCCAGUUUAAUACUGGGAUUCGGUACUGUCUGUACAGGAUAGGUGGGAGGCUAGGAAAUGGUGACGCCAGUUGCCAUGGAGCCAACCUUGGGAUACCACCCUUACAGUACUGGGUUUCUAACCUGCAGCCGUAACCCGGCUGGGGGACAAUGUCUGACGGGGAGUUUGACUGGGGCGGUCGCCUCCGAAAGAGUAUCGGAGGCGCUCAAAGGUUCCCUCAGAACGGUUGGAAACCGUUCGAAGAGUGCAAAGGCAGAAGGGAGCUUGACUGCGACACCGACGGGUGGAGCAGAUACGAAAGUAGGACUUAGUGAUCCGGUGGUAUAAAGUGGGAUUGCCAUCGCUCAACGGAUAAAAGCUACCCUGGGAUAACAGGCUUAUCACUCCCAAGAGUUCACAUCGACGGAGUGGUUUGGCACCUCGAUGUCGGCUCAUCGCAUCCUGGAGCUGUAGCAGGUUCCAAGGGUUGGGCUGUUCGCCCAUUAAAGCGGUACGCGAGCUGGGUUCAGAACGUCGUGAGACAGUUCGGUCCCUAUCCGGCGUGGGCGUAGGAUAUUUGAGAGGAGCUGUCCUUAGUACGAGAGGACCGGGAUGGACAAACCUCUGGUGUAUCUGUUGUUUUACCAAAGGCAUGGCAGAGUAGCCAAGUUUGGCAGGGAUAAACGCUGAAGGCAUCUAAGCGUGAAGCCCCCCUCAAGAUAAGAUAUCCCAUCUUCGGAGUAAGACCCCUUGAAGACUACAAGGUUGAUAGGCUUCAGGUGUAAGUGUGGUAACGCACUCAGCUGAGAAGUACUAAUAGGUCGAGGACUUAUC